CCGGCACGGGUGAGUAACACGUAUCCAACCUGCCGUCUACUCUUGGACAGCCUUCUGAAAGGAAGAUUAAUACAAGAUGGCAUCAUGAGUCCGCAUGUUCACAUGAUUAAAGGUGUUCCGGUAGACGAUGGGGAUGCGUUCCAUUAGAUAGUAGGCGGGGUAACGGCCCACCUAGUCUUCGAUGGAUAGGGGUUCUGAGAGGAAGGUCCCCCACAUUGGAACUGAGACACGGCCCAA
rnacentral:rRNA from 1 species